GAUGAACGCUGGCGGCGUGCCUAAUACAUGCAAGUCGAGCGAACAGAUGAGGAGCUUGCUCCUCUGACGUUAGCGGCGGACGGGUGAGUAACACGUGGAUAACCUACCUAUAAGACUGGGAUAACUUCGGGAAACCGGGGCUAAUACCGGAUAAUAUAUUGAACCGCAUGGUUCAAUAGUGAAAGACGGUUUUGCUGUCACUUAUAGAUGGAUCCGCGCCGCAUUAGCUAGUUGGUAAGGUAACGGCUUACCAAGACAACGAUGCGUAGCCGACCUGAGAGGGUGAUCGGCCACACUGGAACUGAGACACGGUCCAGACUCCUACGGGAGGCAGCAGUAGGGAAUCUUCCGCAAUGGGCGAAAGCCUGACGGAGCAACGCCGCGUGAGUGAUGAAGGUCUUCGGAUCGUAAAACUCUGUUAUUAGGGAAGAACAAAUGUGUAAGUAACUAUGCACGUCUUGACGGUACCUAAUCAGAAAGCCACGGCUAACUACGUG
rnacentral:rRNA from 1 species